GGUGCCUACAACUUCAGAGAGUACAACAGCAGAAACCACGACUACAGCUUCAUCAACAAUUUCUACAACAACAAACAAUCCAACAUCAAAAGCUGUAACUUCAGCAUCCACAGCUCUCACUUCAACAACAGUGCCUGCAUCUUCAGAAACAACUGCACCUGUAACAACUUCAGUAACUACAGCAUCCUCAACUACUGAAAUUCCUACAACCACAGUUGUGAGUACAGAAACCACACCUAUUACUUCAACAGUGGUGCAUUCAACUUCAGAAAGUACAACACUAGAAACCACGACUACAGCUUCAUCAUCCACACCUGCAACAACAAACAAUCCAACAACAUCAACAGUUGUACCUUCAGAAUCCACAACUCUCACUUCAACAACAUUGCCUACAUCUUCAGAAACAACUGCACCUGUAAAAACAUCAGUAACUACAGCAUCCUCAACUUCUGAAAUUCCCACAAGCACAGUUGUGAGUAAAGAAACCACACCUAUUACUUCAACAGUGGUGCCUACAACUUCAGAGAGUACAACAGCAGAAACCACGACUACAGCUUCAUCAUCCACACCUGCAACAACAAACAAUCCAACAACAUCAACAGUUAUACCUUCAGAAUCCUCAACUCUCACUUCAACAACAUUGCCUACAUCUUCAGAAACAACUGCACCUGUAACAACUUCAGUAACUAAAGCAUCCUCAACUAUCAAAAUUUCCACAACCACAGCUGUGAGUACAGAAACCACACCUAUUACUUCAACAGUGUUGCCCACAACUUUGAAGAGUACAACAGCUGAAACCAUGACUACAGCUUCAUCAACCACACCUACAAAAACGAACAAUCCAACAACAUCAACAUUUGUAACUUCUGAAUCUACAACUCCUACUUCAACAGUUAUAGCUACAUCUUCAGAAACAACUACACCUCUAACAAAAUCAGUAACUACAGCAUCCUCAACUACUGAAAUUCCCACAACCACAGUUGUGAGUACUGAAUCCAUAACUCUUACUUCAACAGCUAAGCCUACAUCUUCAGAAUCUACUGCAACUGUAACAUCAGUAACUACAGUAUCCUCAAAAACCUAUAUUCCCACAACCACGGUUGUGAGAACAGAAACCACACCUAUCAUUUCGACAGUGGUGCCUACAACUUCAGAGAGUACAACGGCAGAAGCUAUGACUACGGCUUCAUCAACUAUAUUUACAGCAAAGAACACUCCAACAACAUCAACAGCUGUAACUUCAGAAUCCUCAACUCUCACUUCAACAACAGUGCCUACAUCUUCAGAAACAACUGCACCUGUAACAACAUCAGUAACUACAGCUUCCUCACCUACAACUGUACCUUCCUCUAUGACAUCAGCUCCAAUGUCAUCUGAAGCUCCAAGUACAACAACAUCUAAAACCACAUUGCUGCUUGCAACCACAUCUACUGGAGCUCUCACAUCCACUGUUGUGACUUCAGGAGCAACAACUCUUACGUCUACAACAAUGCCUACAACAUCAGAAAGUACAACUACACCUGCAGCAAGCACAACUGCAGCUUCCACAGCCACAGUGGGGCCAUCCACUACUGUGACUACAGCUUCCGAAAUUACAACUGCAUCUUCAACAUCUACAGCUUCCUCAGCUGCGAUAGUGCAUUCUACUACUACAUCAUCAUCUCCAACCUCAUCUGAAUCUCGAGGUACAGCAACUAAUUAUCCAACAACAUCAACAGCUGUAAUUUCAACAACAAUGGCUACAUCUUCAGAAACAUCUGCACCUGUAACAACAUCAGUAACUACAGCUUCCUCAUCUAUAAAUGUACCUUCCUCUAUGACAUCAGCUCCAAUGUCAUCUGAAGCUCCAAGUGCAACAACAGCUCAAACCACAAUGCCACUUGCACCUGCAACUACUGAAACACUCACAAUCACCAAAAUGACUUCAGAAACCACAACUGCACCAACAACAUCGAUAACUACAACGUCCACAACUACCACUGUAGCUUCAACGACAACAGCAGCUUCUCUUGCAACAACCACAACUACAGCUUCCAUCACCACAACCAUUCCUUCCACUUCUACAUCAGAUCAAACCACACCUAAGGCUGCAAGUACAACAUCAAAAGGUCCGAACACAAAUUCAGAAAGUAUAACUUCACCUGCUGUAACCACAGAUUCCACAACCAUGAUGGAAUAUUCAACUACUACAUCAAGUUUAACCCCAGCCACAACUACUGAAACCUCAACUCUUACUUCACCAACAAUGUCUACAACUUCAGAAAGUACUCCUGCACCUGCAACAUCCACCAUUACAGCUUCCUCUUCUACGAAUAACUAUCCCACAACAGAAAAUCCAUCUCAAACCUCAACUUCAAUUCCAGGCACAAACACACCUACAGCGGCAACAACAACUGCAUUCCGAAUAACAACUGCACCUCUAUCAACCACAACUAUUGCUUUCACUAAUACAGCUCCAGCUCUAAGCCAAGCAGGACUCCUUACCACAACAAAUGCACCUCCAAUUAUCACAACUGUGUCUCCGGAGACUGUAACUAUUGCUGUAACAAUUAUGCCUAUCUCAUCAUCACAUGUAACUAUAUCCCCAACUUUAACUCCAAUAAAAACAACUGAACCUCCAAGAACCCCAACUACACCCAUUACAACCAUGACUGUUCUUCCCACCACUACAGUUCCAGCUGAUAUCUCAACUACAGCUCCAACCACAACAACAGCCACUAUUCCAAGUUCAACUGCAGCUCAAACAACAACUGCAUUUCAAGUAACAACAGGAGAUCUUUUAAGAACAACUGUAGCUUUUACCAACACAUCUUCUGCUCCAGCCACACUUGCACUUUCAACCAAAACAACUCCAAUCCCAAACAUGGAUUCAGAAACUACAACUGCAUCAACAACUACAACUGGAAUUAAUACAGGUCUCACCAGUGCAGCAGAAUUUCCAAUAGCUCCAAUAACAUCAGUUUCAAACACAAAUGCAUCAACAUCCCCAGCAUCUACAAUUCCAAGUCAAUCAUCAAUCAAAACAACACCAGCUGAAACUCUUUCUAGCAAUACUACACCUCUAAACAAUGCAACAAAAGCAGAUGCAUCUGCAACACUUCAAAGUACUUCAAGUUUGCAACCAGAAACUUCAAACAUACCCAAAACAUUGUCAACAAAUGUGACUGGUGCAGCAACAGUCACAACCAUAUUGGUAUUCUCAUCCUUGUCGUCAGUGCCCAAUGAAAAUUUGGUCCUAGGUGCUAUCAGUACUCUUCUGGAAUCUAGACAGUCCCAACUCAAUGGAUCACUGAAGAUUGUAAAAUUUACUUAUCAGAAAAUCUCAGAAACCUCCUAUGCUGUGGUCUUUACAUUUAACGUGAUUAACAUCAGCAUGCCAGAGGACCCUGUGUCUAGAGGCAACACCAACCAGAAAGUGCAGGAUACCAUCAAUAAUGCGCUGAACACUCUUCUGAAUGAACCUGGAAGUCCAACUUUACAACCAAAGUCCUCCAACUUCACAAGCACUUCAAACCAGAUUGAUGGCAGGAUGGAAUACAGCUUCCAGGAUGGAGAUGUCAUACAACCAGUCAGCUUCCUCAAUGAGCUACGUCUACCAACCACUACAACAGUGUUUCCAGAAACAACAACCAGUGUUUCUGUUACUACUCCAAACCUCAUAUCUGGUUCAGCAGUGGUCACAAGCAAGCUGGUGUUCAACUCCUCAUCUCCAGUCCCCAGUGAAUCUCUAGUCCUCAAUGCAAUCAAAACUCUGCGUAAUUCCAGAGAGUCACAGCUCAAUGAAUCGGUGAAGGUGGUGAAUGUCACCUAUGAGAAGAUCUCAGAAACCUCCUAUGCUGUGGUCUUUACAUUUAACGUGAUUAACAUCAGCAUGCCAGAGGACCCUGUGUCUAGAGGCAACACCAACCAGAAAGUGCAGGAUACCAUCAAUAAUGCGCUGAACACUCUUCUGAAUGAACCUGGAAGUCCAACUUUACAACCAAAUUCCUCCAACUUCACUAGCACUUCAAACCAGAUUGAUGGCAGGAUGGAAUACACCUUCCAGGAUGGAGAUGUCAUACAACCAGUCAGCUUCCUCAAUGAGCUACGUCUACCAACCACUACAACAGUGUUUCCCGAAACAACAUUUGGUUUCUCUGUGACUCCUUCAAACCUCAUAUCUGGUUCAGCAGUGGUCACAAGCAAGCUGGUGUUCAACUCCUCAUCUCCAGUCCCCAGUGAAUCUCUGGUCCUCAAUUCAAUCAAAACUCUGCGUAAUUCCAGAGAGUCACAGCUCAAUGAAUCGGUGAAGGUGGUGAAUGUCACCUAUGAGAAAAUCUCAGAAACCUCCUAUGCUGUGGUCUUUACAUUUAACGUGAUUAACAUCAGCAUGCCAGAGGACCCUGUGUCUAGAGGCAACACCAACCAGAAAGUGCAGGAUACCAUCAAUAAUGCGCUAAACACUCUUCUGAAUGAACCUGGAAGUCCAACUUUACAACCAAAGUCCUCCAACUUCACAAGCACUUCAAACCAGAUUGAUGGCAGGAUGGAAUACAGCUUCCAGGAUGGAGAUGUCAUACAACCAGUCAGCUUCCUCAAUGAGCUACGUCUACCAACCACUACAACAGUGUUUCCAGAAACAACAACCAGUGUUUCUGUUACUACUCCAAACCUCAUAUCUGGUUCAGCAGUGGUCACAAGCAAGCUGGUGUUCAACUCCUCAUCUCCAGUCCCCAGUGAAUCUCUAGUCCUCAAUGCAAUCAAAACUCUGCGUAAUUUCAGAGAGUCACAGCUCAAUGAAUUGGUGAAGGUGGUGAAUGUCACCUAUGAGAAAAUCUCAGAAACCUCCUAUGCUGUGGUCUUUACAUUUAACGUGAUUAACAUCAGCAUGCCAGAGGACCCUGUGUCUAGAGGCAACACCAACCAGAAAGUGCAGGAUACCAUCAAUAAUGCGCUGAACACUCUUCUGAAUGAACCUGGAAGUCCAAAUUUACAACCCAAGUCAUCAAACUUCACAAGCACUUCAAACCAGAUUGAUGGCAGGAUGGAAUACAGCUUCCAGGAUGGAGAUGUCAUACAACCAGUCAGCUUCCUCAAUGAGCUACGUCUACCAACCACUACAACAGUGUUUCCAGAAACAACAACCAGUGUUUCUGUUACUACUUCAAACCUCAUAUCUGGUUCAGCAGUGGUCACAAGCAAGCUGGUGUUUCAACUCCUCAUCUCCAGUCCCCAGUGAAUCUCUGGUCCUCAAUGCAAUCAAAACUCUGCGUAAUUCCAGAGAGUCACAGCUCAAUGAAUCGGUGAAGGUGGUGAAUGUCACCUAUGAGAAAAUGUCAGAAACCUCCUAUGCUGUGGUCUUUACAUUUAACGUAAUUAACAUCAGCAUGCCAAAGGAACCUGUGUCUAGAGGCAACACCAACCAGAAAGUGCAGGAUACCAUCAAUAAAGCGCUGAAUACUCUUCUGAAUGAACCUGGAAGUCCAACUUUUCAACCAAAGUCAUCAAACUUCACAAGCACUUCAAACCAGAUUGAUGGCAGAAUGGAAUACACCUUCCAGGAUGGAGAUGUCAUACAACCAGUCAGCUUCCUCAAUGAGCUUCGUUCACAGACAGUCUUAACGACAGCCAGCACUCUGACAACUACUCCACUGAUAGUGCGUGGCAAAGCGCUUAUAUUCAUUCGCCUCGUGUUUGUCACACUGGGCCCCCUGCCAAAUCCAGAGAAGGUUCUUGAGGUGGCCAACACUCUGCUUCAGACGCGUCUCAAAACUAAACAAGACACCAGUACUCAAGACCUGAGUGAUCCUGUGAGCUUUGUCAAUGUCACAUAUACAAAAAUAAAUGAGACGGCCUAUGCUCUCAACUUUGGAUUUGAAAUCAGCAAUAUAACCAUGACAGAGAAGCUUGAACUCAGGAAUGGCACCCACCUGUUAAUACAAGACUCUAUAAACUCAUUGCUGGGCAAGAUCCUUCUCAGUAACUCAUCAGCGCCUAUCAUUAAGUUCCAACCAGCUGAUUUCACGGGUAAUUCCACAGUAAUUAAGGCCAAUGUAGAGUAUGUUUUCUCACCAAGUGACAUCACGCAACCCAGCAUCUUUGUUCAGGAACUUCUCCAACUUAAUGAAGCGAGCACUCUGACAAGCACAACUUCACCACCGAUCUUGACUAGGAGGGCAAUUAUUAAGAUUCGUCUGGAGUUUAUCACACUGGGCCCAAGACCAAGUGAGAGUAAUGUUCUACAGGUGGUUAAAUCUAUGCUGGCCACAAAUCUCACAACUAAACUAACCACGAGAGUAACAAGCGUGAGCGAACCUGUGACCUUGAAUAAUGUUGUGUAUAUCGGAAUUAAUGACACCGCCUACGCACUGAUUUUUGCAUUCGAAAUGAACAAAGUAUUACUGACAGAGAUACAAAGGCAAGAAGCCUACAAAGAAAUCCAAAACAAGAUAAAUGAUUUGGUGAAGCAGAUACUAAAGGACCCCUCGGUUAAUCUGCUCAUUCCAGCCGAUUUCAAGGAUGAUCUCCUUGUGAUCGAGGCCAAUGUUACGUAUGUUUUCUCAGAACGUAACAGUAACACGGGCUCCGGUUUCUUGGUCAGUGCCCUUUUCAAGGCUUUUACCACACCAGCUCCAACCACCAUGAACACUACAAUCUCAAACAACAGUACUAAUGCAGCAUGGAUUGUGGCUAUCAUUGUCCCCUGUGCUAUUGUCAUCGGGCUCGUACCUUGCUGGAUUCUCCUUUGCUGUUUGCUGUGUGGUUGCUGUGCAGCAAUCAGAAGACGCUGGCACAGAAGACAGUCGUACAAUGUGCAGUACACCACUCGAAACAGUCUCUUCUAAAGAGUUCUGAGAUAUUUGACAAAAGCAGGACUGAAAACCAAUGAGAACAUAAAAAUCAUGGAUUUUGGAUAUUCAAUAUGCUAUCAAUACUGCUUCUUUUGUAGUAUUGAAAGUACUAUGUUAAUGCUUCUUUAUAAACUAUUUAUUUUAUUAUCCUAGACAAACAGGUCCUCCAUAAAAUAUUCCUUAAUGUGACAUUUUAAUACGUCCUAUAGUCUAUAAUGAAAUUGUAUUAUUGUUAUUUAUUUGUAUUUAUUUGUAAUAUUCUGUUUAUGUUUACAGUUAAUCUUUUGCAAAUCAUUAAUCUGCUUGACAUUACACAUUUUAAUUUAAAGGGACAAAAGGUAGAACAUUAGCUAUUAUUUAUUCAUACUCCAUGCACUUUAACUUUAUAAAUGUAAAGGAAGCUUGUGAUGUAAAGGAAAUGCAAAAAAAGCUCAUUUACGUAAGUCAUUGGCAUGAACAUGUUAAACUGAAAAAUAAAUAAGAAUAAAAACUGUAAUUAGACAAUACUAGAUCAAUAAAGAAUACUGAAAAAUA
ensembl:lncRNA